rnacentral:rRNA from 1 species
CCUGGUUGAUCCUGCCAGUAGUCAUAUGCUUGUCUCAAAGAUUAAGCCAUGCAUGUCUAAGUACAAGCCUCACUAAGGUGAAACCGCGAAUGGCUCAUUAUAUCACACCUAAUCUACUGGAUAGUUAACAGUUACUUGGAUAACUGCGGUAAUUCUGGAGCUAAUACAUGCACAAAGCCCCGAACUUACGUGAGGGGCGCUUUUAUUAGAUCAAAACCAAUCGGCUUCGGCUGAACUCUUGGUGACUCUGAAUAACUUUGGGCUGAUCGCAUAGCCUAGCGCUGGCGACAUAUCCUCCGAAGGUGUGCCCUAUCAACUGUCGACUGUGGCAUAGACGCCCACAGUGGUUUUGACGGGUAACGGGGAAUCAGGGUUCGAUUCCGGAGAGGGAGCCUUAAAAACGGCUACCACAUCUAAGGAAGGCAGCAGGCACGCAAAUUACCCAAUGACCGCAGGUCGAGGUAGUGACGAAAAAUAACGAUACAGGACUCAUCUGAGGCCCUGUAAUCGGAAUGAGUACACUUUAAAACCGUCCCCGAGGAUCUAUUGGAGGGCAAGUCUGGUGCCAGCAGCCGCGGUAAUUCCAGCUCCAAUAGCGUAUAUUAAAGUUGUUGUGGUUAAAAAGCUCGUAGUUGGAUUUCGGCGGGUAUAGGUUGGUUUGAAUUGCUUCAAUACUGACUUUUUUACCCGUGUGUUUUGCCAGAAUUUAACGGGUGAUCUUCGCCGAUUGUCUGUUAGAACUGACAGGUUUACUUUGAAAAAAUUAGAGUGCUCAAAGCAAGCUUGAUUGCUUGAAUAUUCGUGCAUGGAAUAAUAGAAUAGGAAGUCGUUUCUAUUUUGUUGGUUUUCGGAAAUCGACUUAAUGAUUAAUAGGGACAGUCGGGGGCAUUUGUAUUCAAACGACAGAGGUGAAAUUCUUGGACCGUUUGAAGACAAACUACUGCGAAAGCAUUUGCCAAGAAUGUUUUCAUUAAUCAAGAACGAAAGUUAGAGGUUCGAAGGCGAUUAGAUACCGCCCUAGUUCUAACCAUAAACGAUGCCAGCUAGCGAUCUGACGGCGUUUUAUUUUUGACUUGUCAGGGAGCUUCCGGGAAACCAAAGCUUGUGGGUUCCAGGGGAAGUAUGGUUGCAAAGCUGAAACUUAAAGGAAUUGACGGAAGGGCACCACC